rnacentral:rRNA from 1 species
GACGAACGCUGGCGGCGUGCCUAAUACAUGCAAGUAGAACGCUGAAGGAGGAGCUUGCUUCUCUGGAUGAGUUGCGAACGGGUGAGUAACGCGUAGGUAACCUGCCUGGUAGCGGGGGAUAACUAUUGGAAACGAUAGCUAAUACCGCAUAAUAGUAGAUGUUGCAUGACAUUUGCUUAAAAGGUGCAAUUGCAUCACUACCAGAUGGACCUGCGUUGUAUUAGCUAGUUGGUGGGGUAACGGCUCACCAAGGCGACGAUACAUAGCCGACCUGAGAGGGUGAUCGGCCACGCUGGGACUGGGACAAGGGCCAGACUCCCGCGGGAGGCAGCAAUAGGGGAUCUUCGGCAAUGGGCGGAAAUCUGGUCGAGCAAAGCCGCGGGAGUGCAGAAGGUUUUCGGAGCGUAAAACGCUGUUGUAAAAGGAGAACAAGUGUGAGAGUGGAAAAGUUCACACUGUGACGGUAGCUUACCAGAAAGGGACGGCUAACUACGUG